rnacentral:rRNA from 1 species
CCUACGGGAGGCUGCAGUGGGGAAUAUUGCACAAUGGGGGAAACCCUGAUGCAGCGACGCCGCGUGAGUGAGGAAGUAUUUCGGUAUGUAAAGCUCUAUCAGCAGGGAAGAAAAAGACGGUACCUGACCAAGAAGCCCCGGCUAACUACGUGCCAGCAGCCGCGGUAAUACGUAGGGGGCAAGCGUUAUCCGGAUUUACUGGGUGUAAAGGGAGCGUAGACGGCUAAUCAAGUCAGAAGUGAAAACCCAGGGCUCAACCUUGGGACUGCUUUUGAAACUGCGGAGCUGGAGUGCAGGAGGGGUAAGCGGAAUUCCUAGUGUAGCGGUGAAAUGCGUAGAUAUUAGGAGGAACACCGGUGGCGAAGGCGGCUUACUGGACUGUAACUGACGUUGAGGCUCGAAAGCGUGGGGAGCAAACAGGAUUAGAUACCCGGGUAGUC